rnacentral:rRNA from 1 species
GACGAACGCUGGCGGCGUGCUUAACACAUGCAAGUCGAGCGGUAAGGCCCUUUCGGGGGUACACGAGCGGCGAACGGGUGAGUAACACGUGGGUGACCUGCCCUUAGCUCUGGGAUAAGCCUGGGAAACUGGGUCUAAUACCGGAUAUGACUCCAUAACGCAUGUUGUGGGGUGGAAAGCCUUGUGCGGCUAGGGAUGGGCCCGCGGCCUAUCAGCUUGUUGGUGGGGUGAUGGCCUACCAAGGCGACGACGGGUAGCCGGCCUGAGAGGGCGACCGGCCACACUGGGACUGAGACACGGCCCAGACUCCUACGGGAGGGCAGCAGUGGGGAAUCUCGCGCAAUGGGCGAAAGCCUGACGCAGCGACGCCGCGUGGGGA